rnacentral:rRNA from 1 species
CCUACGGGAGGCAGCAGUGGGGAAUAUUGGGCAAUGGGCGCAAGCCUGACCCAGCAACGCCGCGUGAAGGAAGAAGGCUUUCGGGUUGUAAACUUCUUUUCUCAGGGACGAAGAAAGUGACGGUACCUGAGGGAUAAGCCACGGCUAACUACGUGCCAGCAGCCGCGGUAAUACGUAGGUGGCAAGCGUUAUCCGGAUUUAUUGGGUGUCAAGGGCGUGUAGGCGGGAGCGCAAGUCAGAUGUGAAAACUCAGGGCUCAACCCUGAGCCUGCAUUUGAAACUGUGUUUCUUGAGUGCUGGAGAGGCAAGCGGAAUUCCGGGUGUAGCGGUGAAAUGCGUAGAUAUACGGAGGAACACCAGUGGCGAAGGCGGAUUGCUGGACAGUAACUGACGCUGAGGCGCGAAAGCGUGGGGAGCAAACAGGAUUAGAUACCCCUGUAGUC